rnacentral:lncRNA from 1 species
AGGCCUUCUGAACGUGCUCGUGCCUACUUGAAAAGGAGGGCACUGGAGAAGUUAAGUGUCACUCCCGUAAGGUAUCCUGGGUAGGAGCUAGUUUGCAUCCAAAGGUUGCUUUGCAAUAGCCCUGGGCUGGGGCACCUCUUGACCUCCUCAAGGGCGGAUUUGCUAUCGAGGGGUUUGGGGACGAUGGAUGUCUAGGGAAUAAUUCAUAGAAGCAACCAUUUUAGAGGCAUCUCCUCCCACCAUUUUCUCCUGCAAAAAAAUACAGUAUGUGCUACUUA